GGGAUAAGCCAUGCGAGUCAACAUAGCAAUAUGUGGCAUACGGCUCAGUAACACGUAGUCAACAUGCCCAGGGGACGUGGAUAACCUCGGGAAACUGAGGAUAAACCGCGAUAGGUCAUCACUUCUGGAAUGGGUAAUGACUUAAACCAAUAUGGCCCCUGGAUUGGACUGCGGCCGAUCAGGCUGUUGGUGAGGUAAUGGCCCACCAAACCUGUAACCGGUACGGGCUCUGAGAGGAGGAGCCCGGAGAUGGGCACUGAGACAAGGGCCCAGGCCCUAUGGGGCGCAGCAGGCGCGAAACCUCUGCAAUAGGCGAAAGCUUGACAGGGUUACUCUGAGUGAUUUCCGUUAAGGAGAUCUUUUGGCACCUCUAAAAAUGGUGCAGAAUAAGGGGUGGGCAAGUCUGGUGUCAGCCGCCGCGGUAAUACCAGCACCCCGAGUGGUCGGGACGUUUAUUGGGCCUAAAGCAUCCGUAGCCGGUUCUACAAGUCUUCCGUUAAAUCCACCUGCUUAACAGAUGGGCCGCGGAAGAUACUAUAGAGCUAGGAGGCGGGAGAGGCAAGCGGUACUCGAUGGGUAGGGGUAAAAUCCGUUGAUCCAUUGAAGACCACCAGUGGCGAAGGCGGCUUGCCAGAACGCGCUCGACGGUGAGGGAUGAAAGCUGGGGGAGCAAACCGGAUUAGAUACCCGGGUAGUCCCAGCUGUAGACGAUGCAGACUCGGUGAUGAGUUGGCUUAUUGCUAACUCAGUGCCGCAGGGAAGCCGUUAAGUUUGCCGCCUGGGGAGUACGGUCGCAAGACUGAAACUUAAAGGAAUUGGCGGGGGAGCACCACAAGGGGUGAAGCCUGCGGUUCAAUUGGAGUCAACGCCGGAAAUCUUACCGGGGGCGACAGCAGAGUGAAGGUCAAGCUGAAGACUUUACCAGACAAGCUGAGAGG
rnacentral:rRNA from 1 species